AUGAGAAUACCGGAGCUUUUUGCUGAACGUCACCAACAUGGAUUCAGGUGCUUUGUGGAGGUUGGCCAAGUGGCCUGUGUCUCCUUUGGACCUCAUGCCAGAAAGUUGGUCACGAUUGUAGAUGUUAUUGAUCAGAACAGGGCUUUGGAUGAUGGACCUUGCACUCAGUUGAGGAGACAGGCCAUGCUUUUCAAAUGCAUGCAGCUCACUGACUACAUCCUCAAGUUCCCACACAGUGCCCGCCAGAAGUAUGUGCGGCACGCCUGGCAGAAGGCUGAUAUCAGUACAAAAUGGGCGGCCACGAGAUGGGUCAAGAAGACUGAAGCCAGAGAAAGGAAAGCCAGGAUGACAGAUUUUGAUCGUUUUAAAGUCAUGAAGGCUAAGAAAAUGAGGAACAGGAUAAUCAAGAAUGAAGUUAAGAAGCUUCAAAAGGCAGCUCUCCUGAAAGCGUCUCCCAAAAAAGCACUUGGGUGCUGCUGCUAAAGUAUCAGCAAAAAAGGUGACCACCGCUGCAGGGCAAGAAGGCUCCAGCCCAGAAGGUUCCUGCCCCAAAAGCCACAGGCCAGAAGGCAGUGCCUCCACCAAAAGCUCAGAGGGGUGAAAAGUCUCCAUCCCAGAAAGCACCUGCUCCAAAUGCAUCUGGCAAGAAGGCAUAA